AGCAAAUUCAAAAAAAUUCUCCGACUUGAGAUUGGACACUUUAGAUUCACUUUAUUGGAGAUGUGCUCGCCCUAUGGAAUUUAAUUUAAUUCACUUUGACACUGGAGUGUCCAACCCUAAUAUGUACAAGAAAAAAGAUUGUAAUAAAUAUUUUUCUCAGUUAAAAGAUAAAAUUUAUGAUGUUAAAUCUCUUUUACCAUGUAUAGAAGACGAAUUUUACACAUACUAUUAUUUUAGUACAAGAUUACAAGUAUUUUCUUUUGACUACAUAUUUUCAGGGGAAUUAAAAUGUAACAUUGUCCAAAGGAAUAAAAAAGGUUAUAAUAUCAUAAAAAAUAAAUGAGCUUUCAGGACUAUUUGCGGUAGUAAUAAACGAAGCACAGAAAUUUAUUAUAAUAUAACAUUAGAUAUUAAAAUGUUUAUUAAAGUUAAAUUGCAAUUACAUUUAGUUGUUGUUUCAUUUUUAAAAAUUUAAAUUGUAAAAUUUGUUAAAAUUUAAUUGUACUCAAUAAAAUCAAUUUCUGUGCAAUAA